rnacentral:lncRNA from 1 species
CGCCACCCGUCUGGGGCCCGAAAGGAGGGAGCUUUCCCUCUGUCCCCCAGCCUUUGGACUGUCACCAAACAAGCCAUUCGUUCACCAAAUACUUUUUAAGCGCCUACCAUGUGCCUGACAAGGGAUAUGUAACGGUGAGAAAAACUAGGUGUGGUCCAGGCCCUUCAGGGACUCAGGGGCUCGUGGAAGAAGUGGAUAUUGAAGUACUUAUCACACAAAGGAGGAUAAAAGUACGAUAGCGAUAUCUACCACGAAGCUGUUGUUCCACACCAGAACCAAAUGAGCGCAAGAUCUGACAAAAAAAAAAGGUUCAUCUUUUAUUCUUCCAAACACUUUCAUUUAAAUCAAGAGGAUGGGAUGUGGUUAUUACUGUGUUUUUAGACAAAAUCAAUGGUUUCUGGCUCUGAGAUGUUGCAUACACCCUCUCAGUCCCUGUAUCCUGAGAUGGAGUCACCUGAGAAUCCACAGCAAGUCCUAACCAGGGAUGGGUCUGGGUGAUUAAGGAAGAUUGGCUUCAGAACUGGGCCAGGGGCACUGCUUUGCUUUUGCUGUUUUGAUCAGCUCUCUGCCUGCAGGAGACGAGGAAAACCAAUGGGAACAGAUAGGGUCUCUCUCUCUGCCACUCAGGCCAGAGUGCAGUUGACGCAGAGCAGGGGAGCCCUGAAAUGGAGCAUAGUGUGUCCGGAACUGGUGGGUUCUUGGUCUCACUGACUUCAAGAAUGAAGCUGCGGACCCUCGGGAUGAGUGUCACAGUUCUUAAA